rnacentral:lncRNA from 1 species
AGUGUCUAAACACACUAUGCCGAGUAUACGCGACGGAAGUUCGGCAUGAUUACGCCUGCAAUGCUAUUUGAAUUACUGGCGACACAUUAUGCCGAAAUUACGUUGCGUUAUAGCGUACAGCCGAACUUCAGUCGGGCGUAAGUUCAGAAGAAAUUCGGCGGCAACUUAUUCUGUAGAACACACAUUAUACGCGACCGAAGUACAUACACACAAAAUUGCGCAACUGAACUUCUGCCGCGUAAGUUCGGCACUUAUGGUGUGUCAUAUCAGGCGAUUACGUUGGAACGUAAAAUCAGCCGCGGAACUUCGGUCGCGUACGUUCGGCAUAGUGUGUUUAGACACUAUAGUUCGGCCGUUCAGAGAAUGCGUUCCUGACACCUAUCAGUUAGUCACGACUAGUGAUGGGCACAACAUAACACUGAGUUCGUUACCGUUCCCCCAAAAUAAACCGCCGCAUUAUUUUAAGAUUAUUUUCGUUUUAAAUUGGCGGAAUCAUUUAAAAUUUAUAUUUUAGUUAUUUAAGUGGAAACCAAAAAAAGUUACAAUCUGUAUUUCUAUGCAAUAAAGUAAGUACAUUGAAUUGAAUGUGCGUACAGAAUAUUAAUCAGACUCCGAUUCGCUUGAGGAGGUGGUGUCUUCAUCAUCAUCUUCGCCUACGUGUAUAAUUAUAUUAGGUAUUAUCAAUAACAGAAUCAAUCCUGAUAUCUCGGUCAAAAUCUUCCAAAAUCAGGUUUUAGUCUUAGCGCACGAAACGACAACAAACGACUAUUUAGCGUCACAAAAUGACGGCCCAUGAUGCCAUUUGGGUUUACCAUUUUCAACCUAAAUAUAAAAAUGCUACUUUCUUUCGCGCGUUCAGUUUGAUCAUAGUUUUAUUUUUAUAUUUCAUAAAAGUUAUCCUAUAGUCCAUUAUUUUCAAAUUCUUAAAAAGAAAAACAAAACGUAUUAUUUUAUAUUAUAAGUAUAACUGUAUAAGAACCAUCAACCAGAACAGAUUACGAUACUUGCCUGUUAUUUUUAGCACAGCACUACAAAUAUAAAGCGCUGACAUAACCUUGUAAUAGCGCAGUAUAGAUUUAGAAAAAUAUUGUUUACCAAGUUAUUUGACACUCAAUUUGGCACAAAAUUACAACAUUCAUUGAUUAUUAUUGAUAUAAUAAUGUUUUUUUAAUGCUCAACAAUUGUUAAAACGAUAAACAACCAGCAAAAAUAUUUUUAUCGUAACUGCAACGCCAUUACAAAGUUACGUCGUCAGUUCAAUCGCGAUGUGUCAGAAACGCAUUCUCUGAGCGGCCGAACUAUAAGAA